AGAGUUUGAUCAUGGCUCAGAUUGAACGCUGGCGGCAGGCCUAACACAUGCAAGUCGAGCGGUAGCACAGAGAGCUUGCUCUCGGGUGACGAGCGGCGGACGGGUGAGUAAUGUCUGGGAAACUGCCUGAUGGAGGGGGAUAACUACUGGAAACGGUAGCUAAUACCGCAUAAUGUCGCAAGACCAAAGUGGGGGACCUUCGGGCCUCAUGCCAUCAGAUGUGCCCAGAUGGGAUUAGCUAGUAGGUGGGGUAACGGCUCACCUAGGCGACGAUCCCUAGCUGGUCUGAGAGGAUGACCAGCCACACUGGAACUGAGACACGGUCCAGACUCCUACGGGAGGCAGCAGUGGGGAAUAUUGCACAAUGGGCGCAAGCCUGAUGCAGCCAUGCCGCGUGUGUGAAGAAGGCCUUCGGGUUGUAAAGCACUUUCAGCGGGGAGGAAGGCGAUAAGGUUAAUAACCUCAUCGAUUGACGUUACCCGCAGAAGAAGCACCGGCUAACUCCGUGCCAGCAGCCGCGGUAAUACGGAGGGUGCAAGCGUUAAUCGGAAUUACUGGGCGUAAAGCGCACGCAGGCGGUCUGUCAAGUCGGAUGUGAAAUCCCCGGGCUCAACCUGGGAACUGCAUUCGAAACUGGCAGGCUAGAGUCUUGUAGAGGGGGGUAGAAUUCCAGGUGUAGCGGUGAAAUGCGUAGAGAUCUGGAGGAAUACCGGUGGCGAAGGCGGCCCCCUGGACAAAGACUGACGCUCAGGUGCGAAAGCGUGGGGAGCAAACAGGAUUAGAUACCCUGGUAGUCCACGCCGUAAACGAUGUCGAUUUGGAGGUUGUGCCCUUGAGGCGUGGCUUCCGGAGCUAACGCGUUAAAUCGACCGCCUGGGGAGUACGGCCGCAAGGUUAAAACUCAAAUGAAUUGACGGGGGCCCGCACAAGCGGUGGAGCAUGUGGUUUAAUUCGAUGCAACGCGAAGAACCUUACCUGGUCUUGACAUCCACAGAACUUUCCAGAGAUGGAUUGGUGCCUUCGGGAACUGUGAGACAGGUGCUGCAUGGCUGUCGUCAGCUCGUGUUGUGAAAUGUUGGGUUAAGUCCCGCAACGAGCGCAACCCUUAUCCUUUGUUGCCAGCGGUUCGGCCGGGAACUCAAAGGAGACUGCCAGUGAUAAACUGGAGGAAGGUGGGGAUGACGUCAAGUCAUCAUGGCCCUUACGACCAGGGCUACACACGUGCUACAAUGGCAUAUACAAAGAGAAGCGACCUCGCGAGAGCAAGCGGACCUCAUAAAGUAUGUCGUAGUCCGGAUUGGAGUCUGCAACUCGACUCCAUGAAGUCGGAAUCGCUAGUAAUCGUAGAUCAGAAUGCUACGGUGAAUACGUUCCCGGGCCUUGUACACACCGCCCGUCACACCAUGGGAGUGGGUUGCAAAAGAAGUAGGUAGCUUAACCUUCGGGAGGGCGCUUACCACUUUGUGAUUCAUGACUGGGGUGAAGUCGUAACAAGGUAACCGUAGGGGAACCUGCGGUUG
rnacentral:rRNA from 1 species